AACGAACGCUGGCGGCAUGCCUAACACAUGCAAGUCGAACGAAGCCUUCGGGCUUAGUGGCGCCCGGGUUCGUAACGCGUGGGAAUCUGCCCCUUUCUUCGGAAUAACAGUUAGAAAUGACUGCUAAUACCGGAUGAAGUCUUCGGACCAAAGAUUUAUCGGCAAGGGAUGAGCCCGCGUAGGAUUAGGUAGUUGGUGGGGUAAAGGCCUACCACGCCGACGAUCCUUAGCUGGUCUGAGAGGAUGAUCAGCCACACUGGGACUGAGACACGGCCCAGACUCCUACGGGAAGGAGCAGUGGGGAAUAGUGGACAAUGGACGGAAGGCUGAACCAGCAAUGCCGCGUGAGUGAUGAAGGCAUUAGGGUUGUAAAGCUCUUGUAACAGGGAUGAUAAUGACAGUACCUGGAGAAUAAGCUCCGGCUAACUACGUG
rnacentral:rRNA from 1 species